AACGCACAUUGCGCCCUCUGGUAUUCCGGGGGGCAUGCCUGUCCGAGCGUCAUUGCAACCCUCAAGCACGGCUUGUGUGUUGGGCCUUCGUCCCCAGUGGACGUGCCCGAAACGCAGUGGCGGUUCCGUGUUCCGGUGCCCGAGCGUAUGGGGCUUUGUCACCCGCUCUUGAGGCCCGGCCGGCGCUUGCCGACCCUUUAUUCUUCUAAGGUUGACCUCGGAUCAGGUAGGGAUACCCGCUGAACUUAA
rnacentral:misc_RNA from 1 species